GAUGAACGCUGGCGGCGUGCCUAACACAUGCAAGUCGAACGGAGAUUCCGGACGGAAGUUUUCGGAUGGAAGACUGUAAUUCUUAGUGGCGGACGGGUGAGUAACGCGUGGGCAACCUGCCCUAUACAGGGGGAUAGCAGCUGGAAACGGCUGGUAAGACCGCAUAAGUCGGUUAAAUCGCAUGAUUUGAUCGGGAAAUGAGCAAUCAGGUAUAGGAUGGGCCCGCGUCCGAUUAGCCAGUUGGCAGGGUAAAAGCCUACCAAAGCGACGAUCGGUAGCCGGACUGAGAGGUCGGACGGCCACAUUGGGACUGAGACACGGCCCAAACUCCUACGGGAGGCAGCAGUGGGGGAUAUUGCACAAUGGAGGAAACUCUGAUGCAGCGACGCCGCGUGAGUGAAGAAGUAUUUCGGUAUGUAAAGCUCUAUAAGCAGGGAAGAUGAUGACGGUACCUGACGAAGAAGCCCCGGCUAACUACGUG
rnacentral:rRNA from 1 species